rnacentral:rRNA from 1 species
UGGGGAAUAUUGGACAAUGGGCGCAAGCCUGAUCCAGCCAUGCCGCGUGAGUGAUGAAGGCCUUAGGGUUGUAAAGCUCUUUCGCCGGUGAAGAUAAUGACGGUAACCGGUAAAGAAGCCCCGGCUAACUUCGUGCCAGCAGCCGCGGUAAUACGAAGGGGGCUAGCGUUGUUCGGAAUUACUGGGCGUAAAGCGCACGUAGGCUGACUUUUAAGUCAGGGGUGAAAUCCCGGGGCUCAACCUCGGAACUGCCUUUGAUACUGGAAGUCUUGAGUCCGAGAGAGGUGAGUGGAACUCCGAGUGUAGAGGUGAAAUUCGUAGAUAUUCGGAAGAACACCAGUGGCGAAGGCGGCUCACUGGCUCGGUACUGACGCUGAGGUGCGAAAGCGUGGGGAGCAAACA